rnacentral:lncRNA from 1 species
GGGAUUUCGAAUCACAAACAAAUCCUCUCCAUAACUCCUUCUUCCAUAAAUCUUUCUCCUUCACUGUUAUUCAAGUCGACACGAGCAUCAUUGUCGAUUUUGAGCAAAUUCAUCAGAACAAGGGACAGAGAGAGAGAGGAAGAAGGGAGAAAAGAAGAGGAGGGGGACGGGAAGCUCUCAGGGAAAUCAUCAGGCCGGGCAGUCCAACCCGAAGUUGUUGGUGGCCGUCCAGCAGGUGUGGAGUUUUCUGCAAAGAUUCAUGACUUUGUAGUUGAGGAUAAAGCCAAGUUCUACCCUUCUGUUAAAGAUGAUGUAUCCAUUACUAUAAUAGAAGCAAGCUCUCAUACUUUGGACAUGCGAGUAAGGCAUAUACAUUUCUGUAAUUGAAGAAUCCUAAUAUUGAUGACUAUAUACUUGAGUGAUGCAACUAUGGCUGAGGAUGCCUUAUUUGUUUGCAUGACUAUAAUGAUUGGGAGCUCAUAUUUCCUUUAACCUUCUUUGCGGGGACAGGGUAUAGUCUCUUCUAUCUCUACCUCUUAUGGCUCCUCCUAACUUUCUCCUUUUGUAUUAUUGGGAAGUGAUACAUUUCAAAACGGGGAUCCCUAUUUGAACCUUAUAAAAAAUCUCAGUAGUGAAAUGAAGCUUCUGAUACCUGCAUACAGGACAUUUAACUUUGAAAAUU